rnacentral:rRNA from 1 species
UACAGAGGUCCCAAGCGUUGUUCGGAUUCAUUGGGCGUAAAGGGUGCGUAGGUGGCGCGGUAAGUCGGGUGUGAAAUUUCGGAGCUUAACUCCGAAACUGCAUUCGAUACUGCCGUGCUUGAGGACUGGAGAGGAGACUGGAAUUUACGGUGUAACAGUGAAAUGCGUAGAGAUCGUAAGGAAGACCAGUGGCGAAGGCGGGUCUCUGGACAGUUCCUGACACUGAGGCACGAAGGCCAGGGGAGCAAACGGG